AUACUUACCUGGAUGGGGUCAAUAGGUGAUCAAAAAGGCCCAAGGCCUAGGCUAGUAACCUCCAUUGCACGUAGGAGGGGUACUUGCCUAAGGUCUACCCAAGUGGUGGAGCCAAUGUCAUAAUUUGUGGUAGAGGUGGCCUGUGUUCGCACAGCCCCUGC